GAUGAACGCUGGCGGCGUGCCUAACACAUGCAAGUCGAACGAUGAAACCGCCCUCGGGCGGACAUGAAGUGGCGAACGGGUGAGUAACACGUGACCGACCUGCCCCCCGCCCAGGGACAGCCCCCCGAAAGGGGGAUUAAUACCUGGUACUCCGGGAGCGGCGCAUGCCGCCCCCGGGAAAGCUCUGGCGGCGGGGGAUGGGGUCGCGGCCCAUCAGGUAGACGGCGGGGCAGAGGCCCACCGUGCCGACGACGGGUAGCCGGGUUGAGAGACCGACCGGCCACAUUGGGACUGAGAUACGGCCCAGACUCCUACGGGAGGCAGCAGUGGGGAAUUUUGCGCAAUGGGGGCAACCCUGACGCAGCAACGCCGCGUGCGGGACGAAGGCGUCCGCGUCGUAAACCGCUUUCAGCGGGGAACACUUUUCGAGGGUACCCGCAGAAGAAGCCCCGGCUAAAUACGUGCCAGCAGCCGCAGUAA
rnacentral:rRNA from 1 species